rnacentral:misc_RNA from 1 species
GGGGUGGAAAAUGGCGCAUCUGCAAGGCAACAGCGGAUAAAGAAAACGCCACCGUCGUUUUUUUUGUUGUAGAUUCUUAGCAAGGAAACAGAGGGUUGGAUUCGAAGAAGAUGGGCGAGGAGGCAGAGAGUAGCAGUGCGAAAAAGGUACUGUCACCAUGUGACGUCGAGGCUUUGAAGAAAUGCUUGGAGGAGAACAAGGGUGACUACGUCAAAUGUCAAUCGCAGAUCGAAGCCUUCAAGUCUACUUGUUCCCUCAAGAAACCAUCUUCUUCCCUUCAAUCUUCAUCUUAGGAGGAGGAUCUUGGAUCUUCUGUGGGGACUCGGUCCUAUUGUUCGUCUGUCUCAUUUAUUUGUGUAUUAGCGAUUCUCUUUUGCAAGAACGCAGUUUUUGGUACCCAGUUGUUUUGUGUAUUGUUGUUGCUGUGAAUUUUCUGUUUCGUAGCCCUGUUUGGAAUUCUUGUUAUUUGCAAUUUUGAUAGAAAUUCUAUUAGUUUCCCUUAAUCUUAUACUUUCCCAAUUGAAUAUCUUCAAUCCCUAAUUUUUAUCUUCUUAUAU